GAUUGGAGGUUACAUUUUGUCAUAAUUUGGCUCUUGACACUUUUUAUGUCUUGGGUGGAGUGAGGUGAACAGUCUCUCAUGGCAGUAAAAUUGUGGGAGUUUGAACUUUCUUGCUGAAGCUGCUCAAGUGCUGUACUAAUUCUACAAUGAAUUUAUAAAUUCAUUGAACCAGGAAGUAUGAUAUAUUAUCUUAACAUUCAGCACUGCAUGCCAGCCUGCAUACAUAAACUGAAAAUAUGUGUGUAAGGAAGAGGAUAUCAAGCCAAGUAGAGCAGUCCCAACCUCUCCUAAUACAGAAUAGGAACUUCUCAAUGUGAACUGAGAUGUUAAGUUUAUUUUCUUUGUUUUUCAUGCCUUUAGGGAAAGUUCACUUGAAUCAUUUGACUUGGACCAUUUUCUGCCUUUGUUACUUUGCCCAUCAUUUAGCCAUCUAUCCCUUUACAUCCUAAGUGGGAAUAUUGAAGACACACUGAAUGAUCAUGCCUCAAGAUAUAAAUGAAGUGGAGGAAGAUAAGCAGAGAACCUGAACUGCAGUGUAUGGAAACUGGAAGAAGCUUUUGAUACUUAUUUGUGCAUCUUGGAGACUGGAAGAGCAUCAUUAACUUCAUUGUAGAGAGCUGGCAAGGAACCAUCAGGAGCUGCUGGAGAAGGAGAGGCAGCUGUCAGAAAGCAGAGGAUCUGAAACUGGUGCAGGAGAAAUGUUGAAACCAAGUGGAUUCAUAGACUGAACACCCAGUGCUCCAGGAGGAAAACUCAGGAACUGCAGGGACAUCAGGAGCAACAGUGGUCCAUUGUCAGAGACCAGAUCCUGUUGCAUUUAAUUUGCUUGUUAGAUCUGUUUCCUCCAGACUUAACAAAGUUACAAAGGGGAGGAAAAAGGCCUCUAUUGUUAAAGGGCCUUCAAACACAUAAAGCAAACACCUAAAACAAGAGACUAUUGCUUCAUCCACCUCCACUACCGUCAAGAUGGAUGAGAUAGCUCCCUGGAUCCACCACAGCAGAGAGAAGCUGGGGUCUGAAACUGAAAUGCAACUCAAAUAAAGCAACAGCCUACAAACUGCGCAUGUGAAACAAGUGAGUCAGCCAUGAAGAGAUCACCAGAGACGGUGACUACAGAGGAACUCCAGAGGACGACAGCUUUGCCUCCGAUACCCCGGAUGCUGACUGAUUUACACAUGGCCAAAGCUUGAGGAAUCUGCCACAUGAUACAAUAAAUGGGCUGAUCCUU